rnacentral:lncRNA from 1 species
GCUGCAGUGUGAGGAGGAAGACGAGUGCCUCAGACCUGAGGAAGGAUGUGGGUGCUGUGUACUCCAUCUCAGCCCUCCUUGCCCAAGCCUGGCAUGCAGGGACUGGAUUUGACCCCAUUUUACAGGCUCACCCGACAGUCCCCGUGUUCCUGCGUUGGCAGGCAGCGCUGACCUGCCCGUGGAAGUGCUCCCUGAGCUGCAAACAGGCUUCCGGCGUGUACCACUGCAAAGAGACAGACAGACGGACACAUCAUCCUGCAAAGCUGUGGCUCCGCCCUCGUAGCCAAGCAGUGAGGGGAGAUGAUCUUCCCAGCCUUCCUUCCUAGGCCUCACAGCUGGCAGCCUCAUUAGCUUUCCCUGACCCAUUUGUCAUGUGUAUCUUCUAUUUCCUCAGCCUUGAGGCUCUGGGGCCUUGUGAGUCCAGAGGGGCGAGCCCAGGCAGGGACUUGGAGAUCUGUGUCUCACCUGGGGCCGCAGUUCCCUUGCUGCAUGCAUGUGACAGGCCUGUCUGCUCUGGGUCUCAACCCUCUCAGGGCGAGACGAGUGGAGCUCUUUUGGUGCCAAGAUCCUCCAAGAUCCAAUUAGCCAGGUGCAGUAGUACAUGCCUGUGGUCCUAGAUACUGAGGAGGCUGAGGUGGAAGGAUUGCUUCAGCUCAAGAGACAGAGGCUGCAGUGAGCUAUGAUCAUGCCACUGCACUCCAACUUGGGUGACAGAGUGAGACCCUGUCUCUAAUCCAUACCUUCUAUGAAUCUCUGAUGACAUUUUGUUUUAAAAACAUGCAUACAUGUGCCUGGAAAAUGUCCUAGGAGGCGCUUUCUGCUGUCCACGUUUCUUGGAAGGCAGACCUGAGCAGUGGUUUAAGAGCAUGGGCCUCAGGGUCAGAAAAAACUGCACGUACCCCACCCACCCUCACCUGGUCUGUAAUUAGAAAAAAAUGAGAUUAAACAAACUAAAGAUGACCAUUAUUUUUUGCCAUUGGAUUGGCCCAGGCUAAAUACAGAAUGUGGCAAGGAUGUGGGGAGAAGGACACCAUUGAGGCUGUUGGUGUGAUCUGUGUAUGGCAAGGGUCCCGCCCCCCGCCCCCCACCCCUGCACAGCCACAGCCACCUGCUCUGUCCCUCUGAACACUGCUUGGAUCCACAGCUCCCCUCCCUCAGCCGCAGUGUCUCAACCAUGGAUUCGGGCUCUGCCUGGCCCAUCUGCCCUCUCAGUUCCAGCUGUGAUUGAGGCAGCAGGGAUGGUGAAAGGAGACUGGCAAAGGGCAAGUUACAGAAACUUAUCGAGCUCCAGUUUCCUUAAAUAUUAAACAGGG